rnacentral:lncRNA from 1 species
CGCCAAAGCUGGCUGUCCCCUUCCUGUGGUCAUUUAGCAGCCUGGCGACGAGGAGAGCUGAGCAGGGCCGCUGCGGUGGUGCCCUCUCCGGGGCUCUAAGCUCUGGAGACAGCCCGGCUCCGGAUCCCCACCUUGACCAGACCCCCUGCCCCUCCCCACCCCUCUCGGCUAAAUGCAGCCCCUGCAGCCGAAUUGCAGCGCCGGCCUGGGCCACGCAUCUCAACCCCUGUGACAAUCCUGAUGUCCUGCGCAAAUCUCCUAGACCGACCCUCCAGCUGCAGUGACUCCUCGAUUGGUCCCGAGCGGGAUGGCAUCGUCGCCAGGCUGUUGCAGACAGCUAAGGGUGAGAUUCGGCCCGAGGAAGCUGUGGGGAGCGGCUGAGUCUCCGAAGAGCAGCAGUGGCUGUUGACUGCUGGACUGAGUGUUACCUGUGUCUUCUUUGACUGAAACCCUCAUUUCCGGUCACCCGGGGCUUCCGGUGCUGCCUGCAGCUGUCAGCCGUCUUCUGAAGGCCCCUGUGCGGCGGAAGCCGGGUCCCGCUCCCGGAAGUCACCGCGGGUGGCUCUUCGGGUCAGGCUGCAGCUGUCUUCCUUCUCGUUGUUCAUCUCCACCGAGGCAAAAGACAGAAGAGAGGGAGAAAUCCAGCAGGCCUCCCCCCAGACCUUCCAAGGGUGCAGGUCCGGGUCCCUGCUUUGACGGCAGCGCCAGGUCCUGGGAAACCUGCGCCCCUGCCCCAGAAAGCUGGUCGCGCUCUCGGACUUGUGGAGCAGUCGCAGCCCAGGAAGAAAAGUCGAAGACUUGAGGGGGCAACAGCGCAGGGACCACUGUGGCGCCCCGGGGGCCUGCGGUUCCCAGGGCCGCUCCCACCCGCCCCUAGCAACGGCCCACCGGCCCACCCUAGGGACAGCGAGUUCGAGGCCAGCCUGGGCUACUUAGCGAGUUGCUGCCUCAAAAAAAGAGGCCAGGUUGGAGGAGGUCACAGUGACAGUGACGAGGCAGAAGGCGAAGGGAGAGCAACCUCCCCCACGGCUGUGCCCCAAAAGACUGAAACUGGCAGUGCCAGCCUGGCGUGGUGGUGCAUGCCUGUCAUUCCGGCACUCUGGAAGGCUGAAGCAGGAGGAUGGCAAGUUGUAGACCAGCCCAGAAGGGGUCCAGCUAAUCGAUGCAGACGGAAUGGUGGGGAAGAUGACCACCCAGGGACUUCCAGCUGGCCUGGGUGCUGAGCAUCAACGGCUGCUGGUGUGACACUUGGAAGCCACUAGACAUCAUGGCCUCCUGGGCAGAAUGCAUGUUCUGCGAGGAUCGAACUUCGGACCUUGCACUUGCGAGGCAGUUGCCGGAACCACUGAGCUAAAUCCCUGGUCCUUACGUCACAGUUUUGUAAUCAUCAGAAUCUAGAUGUGGCUAAUCUGUAAUAUCCAUGGUGUGGCUACUUUGAUGACCAAUUGUCAAAAAAAAAAAAGGUAAAAGGUAAAAGGUGAAGCUUGCAUUAAAGGGGAUUUCAGGACAUCAACCAAUCACAAUGUGGUCAUCUCAUGUAGCUCUUGAGUUUGUGAAACUGAAU